UACAUGUGGGGCAAGCGUUGUUCGGAAUUACUGGGCAUAAAGGGUGCGUAGGUGGUUUGUUAAGUCAGGGGUGAAAUCCCGCGGCCCAACCGUGGAACUGCCUUUGAUACUGGCGAACUUGAGUGCGUGAGGGGUAGGGGGAACGAGCAGUGUAGCGGUGAAAUGCGUAGAUAUUGCUCGGAAGGCCAGAGCCGAAGGGGCCCUACUGGUGCGCAACUGACACUGAGGCACGAAAGCGUGGGUAGCAAACAGG
rnacentral:rRNA from 1 species